rnacentral:pre_miRNA from 1 species
AGUGGGAUAGCUGGGUCAAAUGGUGGUUCCAUUCCAAGUUUUCUGAGGAAUCUCCAUACUGCUUUCCAGAGUGGUUGCACCAAUUUGCAGUCCCACCAGCAGU